CAGGACAAACGCUGGCGGCGUGCUUAAACAUGCAAGUCGAACGGAGGUUAGGUGUUCCACUAAGCAUUCUAUAUGAGGUGUUAGUGGAAUGCUUACCUUAGUGGCGGACGGGUGAGUAACGCGUGAGUAAUCUGCCUCUAUCUGGGGGACAACAGUUGGAAACGACUGCUAAUACCGCAUAGGACCCAGGUACACAAGUACUAGGGGUGAAAGAUUUAUCGAAUAGAGAUGAGCUCGCGUAGCAUUAGUUAGUUGGUGAGGUAACGGCCACCAAGACUUUGAUGCUUAGCCGAUCUGAGAGGAUGAUCGGCCACACUGGAACUGAGAUACGGUCCAGACUCCUACGGGAGGCAGCAGUUAGGAAUAUUGGGCAAUGGAGGCAACUCUGACCCAACGGCAACGCCGCGUGAAGGAUGAAGGUCCUCGGAUUGUAAACUUCUGUAUUAGAGGAAGAAGAUAGUGACGGUACUCUAAUAGAAAGCUACGGCAAACUACGUGCCAGCAGCGGC
rnacentral:rRNA from 1 species